UACGGAGGAUCCAAGCGUUAUCCGGAUUUAUUGGGUUUAAAGGGUGCGUAGGCGGAUUAGUAAGUCAGUGGUGAAAGCCUGCAGCUUAACUGUAGAAUUGCCAUUGAUACUGCUAGUCUUGAAUAUAGUUGAGGUAGACGGAAUAUGACAUGUAGCGGUGAAAUGCUUAGAUAUGUCAUAGAACACCGAUUGCGAAGGCAGCUUGCUAAACUAUUAUUGACGCUGAGGCACGAAAGCGUGGGGAGCAAACAGG
rnacentral:rRNA from 1 species